UAGGGAAUCUUCGGCAAUGGACGAAAGUCUGACCGAGCAACGCCGCGUGAGCGAAGAAGGUUUUCGGAUCGUAAAACUCUGUUGUUAGAGAAGAACAAGGACGUUAGUAACUGAACGUCCCCUGACGGUAUCUAACCAGAAAGCCACGGCUAACUACGUGCCAGCAGCCGCGGUAAUACGUAGGUGGCAAGCGUUGUCCGGAUUUAUUGGGCGUAAAGCGAGCGCAGGCGGUUUCUUAAGUCUGAUGUGAAAGCCCCCGGCUCAACCGGGGAGGGUCAUUGGAAACUGGGAGACUUGAGUGCAGAAGAGGAGAGUGGAAUUCCAUGUGUAGCGGUGAAAUGCGUUGAUAUAUGGAGGUACACCAGUGGCGAAGGCGGCUCUCUGGUCUGUAACUGACGCUGAGGCUCGAAAGCGUGGGGAGCAAACAGG
rnacentral:rRNA from 1 species